rnacentral:lncRNA from 1 species
CGACGGCGCGGACGAGUUUGUGGACCGUAUAAGAAAGGACAAUCAUCGGCCCAGAAGCGCGAUGCGGCCCAUCCGACGCAGGCAAAGGAUGGGAAAACGGCGCGCGAGACUGACGGAAUGUCUUCUGACUUUUGGUACCUGGGAAAUAGCUAUAAUGAUUCAUCAAUGCAUUCUCUUAGCUGUGCUGGAAGAUAAGGGGCAGGCUGUUAGCAACCCUUCCUUAAUCCAAUAGAAAUGACACAGGCAAUCUGAUGCAAUAGUAGCUGAUACAAGUAUGAGGGAAAUAGAGUUUGGGAUAGGAAAGCACAGCAGGGGGAUCGAGAUAGUAGAGCAGCAAGAUCUAGAGAUAGAGAGAAAUCAGAAUAGUUGAGGAUCUAGAGGAUUGGAGAAUAGGAGACAGACUUGUUCUGUGUAUUUCUUCGAUGCCCAUCACUGAAGCAGCUCGUGCCCUUGCACUCCAGACCCAGCCUCUUGGACUCCCUCGGCUCAUGGCCCAUAUGGCCCAAUAGUCAGUCCCUAACAUUCCCCCCUUCUUAAGAUCCGAUUUGCCCCCAAGUCGAUGAAAUAAAAUCUUCAUCAAAAUCAUAGUACCACCUGGAUCCCAUGGCAGUUGCAGAUUCUUGGCGAUCAGCAGCAAUAAGAAUGGCCAUGCCUGAUGACUGAAAACCACUUCUGCAUGUGCUUCAUAUCUGAACCUUUUACAUGGUUGGUUAUAUAAUGUUGCUAUCAGACUGUCCAUAUUUAUUAGCACUGCAUUUUCUAACAAUUCCAUCCAGUUUUUCCUUUCCCCCCUAGGAGAAUGGAAUGCCCCUGUAUUUAGCUCAACCACAAUGUCACCAAUUGCUAAACUGAAGCAAUUAUGAACCUGGGAAGGCAAAACAACAGUAACACUGACUUCUUGUAAAGCCAUUGGCAAAUCCCAAAACUGAACCAAUAAAUCAGGAAUAUCAUCACAACAUUUUUGCUGCUUCAUCUCUCGUGCAAAUAACAAAUUUAGAUUGAUAAUUCCUGGAUUGCAUAGCUUAAACUCUUGAUAUCACCUCUUAGUCUCAGUAGCAAGCAUCACCAUGUCAAAGCCAUAAGGUUGGAACUGAUUUCUGAAUACUCCUCUAAGCAAUUGCCUCUGGAUUCCAGAAUUCCAGGAAUGCAUCACAGUGUACUCUACCAGACUAAACUUCUGCAAUAGUGGCUUCCUGGCGUUUAUAUUUUCCCACAACAAUUCUUGUUCUUUUCCUGAACAUUGCCCAAGUAUACAAGGAUUGAACAACAAUGGGGGCAGAUGGAGCCAGUCAAAGCACCAAAAAGAACUAAUCCCACCAUCUACGUGUGGGAGAUGGUGUGGCAAUGGUCUUGGCCGAAUCUUGGCACUGUCACACAUGAACACCAUGGGUAUCGACGGCGACCGUUGCAUGGGAUGCAGAGUAGGUCCAUCACACAUCAUCAUAAUUAGCAGAGAGGUCAAGGAUGAGAAAUUUUGUUGAGCUGGAGGUGGCCAUGGAGGCUUCCUAUGAAAACUGAAAGACCACCUCACGAAGUCAUCAUCAAAUAAUAUCUGGAAAGACGACCAUGGCCUUGGACGCAUAUCAGCAUUGUCAGAACUACUGCCCGAUGGCAUUGAUGGCGGCCAUGGCUGCCAGUCAGUGUACCUCCUUGACAGAGCCCAUAAAAUCACCACAUCACAAAUCAUAUCAUCUAGGUGGAAGAAGUUUAGAGCAGUACCUACACCACAAUUCGAUGCUGGAACAUUCUUGGUGACCAAUGGAACAGCAGGCACCUGGAGCUCAUCACGGCGGCGUGGUCCAUGACAUCCAGGACGACCAUGGACUGGACAACAACAUCGAUGCUACCGCGUGCUCCUGCAAUAGCAAGAACCUCUGCACAUCCUCCAGCUGCAUCAGCCUCCACAAAUAGCUUCUCAGAGUUAUGGUCCUCGGACACAGCUUCAACAAGUGGAAACGCAGUUAUCUUGUGGUUGGCGCUGGCAUCGACAUCGAGGCCCCGAGUUGAACCAGUGGUGGGCGCCUCAAUGCUGGUGAUGUUGGGAACAAAAUUGAUGGUCGUUGCAGCCACAGCAGCAAGGCUGGAGUCUGGGUCAUGCCCCUCGAUGAUGGUGGAUGUAGUAGAAGCUCCAAGCAUGGUCGAAGAUGAGCUUGCCAUGGUGUCACAGCAGCUCAGGUCUUGAGAUGACCCCCACUUGAUGUCCAGCUGACAACAGCCAGUAUACACACACCGGCCAUGUAACUCCCCAAAUGCUUCUGCUGCACCAUACUUUGUUUCAAACACAACCUGAGCCAACACAUGAUCUGAUCCUCCAAGCACUUGCACAUGCUGCACCUCGCCAAACGGAUCAAACACAAGAUGGAGAACCUCCUCAGUGAUGGGAUAGUAAGCCUGGUGAAUGGUGACCUGCAGAACUCGGCUAGGCGAUCUCCAAUCACUUGCAGACAUUUCAUCGAACAGGUUGCAGGCGCCGCUAUUGCAGCCACCAUUGCUGAAGCAAAUUGGCCACAAAUCACUCCGGCUCACUUCCUCUUUCCACGCCAUCUCCAGAUCGAAAAAAAAAAUCCAAGGAUUCGAACAUCUCUGAAAUACACAGAACAAGUCUGUCUCCUAUUCUCCUAUCCUCUCUCUGGCUCAUGUUCUUCUUUCUUCUCUAGAUCCUCAGCUAUUCUGAUUUCUCUCUAUCUCUAGAUCUUGCUGCUCUACUAUCUCGAUCCCCCUGCUGUGCUUUCCUAUCCCAAACUCUAUUUCCCUCAUACUUGUAUCAGCUACUAUUGUAUCAGAUUGCCUGUGUCGUUUCUAUUGGAUUAAGGAAGGGGGUUGCUAACACAGGCUUGGCAUCCUUUUGUACACUGAAGUCUAAAUCUGUUUUCUCAAAUUGACACAACAAUUACACUCUCAAGUUGAAAAGGACAUUCAAUCAUCGCAUUCUGAAUUGAGUCGCGGCCUCGAACCAGAAGCUGUGGGAGCCCUCACCGUGGCCGCAGACCUCGACCUGCAGAAGAGGAUGCCAGGUUGGGGAGGAGGAGAGCGUCGGCGGAGGGAGCUUCCUCAAGUUUGGGAUCUGCUCCACCCAUGCUCGAGCCAGGGGAAGUGACGAGCUGCAGCUACCGGGCGGCGGCGAUGGGGAUUGGCCGAUAGGGGGUUUCAUGUGCUGUGCGCGAGCGCGAAACGGCGACCGCAACCGCAAAGCGAGCGGAGAGAGAUGGGGUGGCCUCGUCUUGCUUGCCGUCAGAUGUGUGAUGGACGGCAUCGGGCCCCCUUCGUCCCUUGGAGGCAGAAACAGG